CACUCCUGCGGGAGGCAGCAGUGGGGAAUAUUGCACAAUGGGCGCAAGCCUGAUGCAGCCAUGCCGCGUGUAUGAAGAAGGCCUUCGGGUUGUAAAGUACUUUCAGCGGGGAGGAAGGCAAUACGGUUAAUAACCGUGUUGAUUGACGUUACCCGCAGAAGAAGCACCGGCUAACUCCGUGCCAGCAGCCGCGGUAAUACGGAGGGUGCAAGCGUUAAUCGGAAUUACUGGGCGUAAAGCGCACGCAGGCGGUCUGUCAAGUCGGAUGUGAAAUCCCCGGGCUCAACCUGGGAACUGCAUUCGAAACUGGCAGGCUUGAGUCUUGUAGAGGGGGGUAGAAUUCCAGGUGUAGCGGUGAAAUGCGUAGAGAUCUGGAGGAAUACCGGUGGCGAAGGCGGCCCCCUGGACAAAGACUGACGCUCAGGUGCGAAAGCGUGGGGAGCAAACAGGAUUAGAAACCCUAGUAGUCCCAUGAU
rnacentral:rRNA from 1 species